rnacentral:rRNA from 1 species
AAUACGACUCACGGCAACGGAUAUCUCGGCUCUCGCAUCGAUGAAGAACGUAGCGAAAUGCGAUACUUGGUGUGAAUUGCAGAAUCCCGUGAACCAUCGAGUCUUUGAACGCAAGUUGCGCCCGAGGCCUUUAGGUCGAGGGC